rnacentral:rRNA from 1 species
AAAUUGACGGGGGCCCGCACAAGCGGUGGAGCAUGUGGUUUAAUCGAAGCAACGCGAAGAACCUUUACCAGGUCUUGACAUCCCGAUGCUAUUUCUAGAGAUAGAAAGUUACUUCGGUACAUCGGUGACAGGUGGUGCAUGGUUGUCGUCAGCUCGUGUCGUGAGAUGUUGGGUUAAGUCCCGCAACGAGCGCAACCCCUACGUUUAGUUGCUAACGCGUGAAGGCGAGCACUCUAGACGAACUGCCGUUGACAAAACGGAGGAAGGUGGGAUGACGUCAAAUCAUCAUGCCCCUUAUGUUCUGGGCUACACACGUGCUACAAUGGCCGGUACAGACGGACGCAAAGCCGCGAGGUGGAGCAAAUCCUAAAAAGCCGGUCUCAGUUCGGAUUGCAGGCUGCAAUUCGCCUGCAUGAAGUCGGAAUUGCUAGUAAUCGCAGGUCAGCAUACUGCGGUCGAAUACGUUCCCGGGCCUU